GACGCUAUGGCCGAGUGGUUAAGGCGAUUGACUAGAAUUUCCUGGUAUCAAUUUCCCUCUGGGAGCGCUGGUUCAAGUCCAGCUGGCGUCG
rnacentral:tRNA from 1 species